rnacentral:rRNA from 1 species
AUUGAACGCUGGCGGCAGGCCUAACACAUGCAAGUCGAGCGGGGUUUUCGGACCUAGCGGCGGACGGGUGAGUAAUGUGUAGGAAGCUACCCGAUAGAGGGGGAUACCAGUUGGAAACGACUGUUAAUACCGCAUAAUGUCUACGGACCAAAGUGUGGGACCUUCGGGCCACAUGCUAUCGGAUGCGCCUACGUGGGAUUAGCUAGUUGGUGAGGUAAUGGCUCACCAAGGCGACGAUCCCUAGCUGGUUUGAGGGGAUGACCAGCUACACUGGAACUGAAACACGGUCCAGACUCCUCCGGGAGGCAGCAGUGGGGAAUAUUGGACAAUGGGCGCAAGCCCGAUCCAGCCAUGCCGCGUGUGUGAAGAAGGCCUUCGGGUUGUAAAGCACUUUCAGUAGGGAGGAAGCGUUGUGUGUUAAUAGUACACAGCGUUGACGUUACCUACAGAAGAAGCACCGGCUAACUCUGUGCCAGCCGCCGCCGUAAGAC